rnacentral:sRNA from 1 species
ACCCUGGGCCGCCUGGUGCCUUUGCAGGGCCCCAGUGCAGGAGGGCAAAGUGAAGGAGCCCAUGUGGGGUUGCUGUGUCUGUGGAGCCCUCUUUGAGGGGCAGAGGCUCAGGCUUCUCUGGGCUCCUGGUGAUGGGCUGUCUUCCCCUUUCACUGUGGUUUCCCGCAAAUGGCAUCUUGGACACCACGGCUCUUAUCACCCCAACUUCCGUGGUUUUGAUUACUACUUUGGAAUCCCAUAUAGCCAUGAUAUGGGCUGUACUGAUACUCCAGGCUACAACCACCCUCCUUGUCCAGCGUGUCCACAGGGUGAUGGACCAUCAAGGAACCUUCAAAGAGACUGUUACACUGACGUGGCCCUCCCUCUUUAUGAAAACCUCAACAUUGUGGAGCAGCCGGUGAACUUGAGCAGCCUUGCCCAGAAGUAUGCUGAGAAAGCAACCCAGUUCAUCCAGCGUGCAAGCACCAGCGGGAGGCCCUUCCUGCUCUAUGUGGCUCUGGCCCACAUGCACGUGCCCUUACCCGUGACUCAGCUACCAGCAGCGCCACGGGGCAGAAGCCUGUAUGGUGCAGGGCUCCGGGAGAUGGACAGUCUGGUGGGCCAGAUCAAGGACAAAGUUGACCACACAGUGAAGGAAAACACAUUCCUCUGGUUUACAGGAGACAAUGGCCCGUGGGCUCAGAAGUGUGAGCUAGCGGGCAGUGUGGGUCCCUUCACUGGAUUAUGGCAAACUCGUCAAGGGGGAAGUCCAGCCAAGCAGACGACCUGGGAAGGAGGGCACCGGGUCCCAGCACUGGCUUAUUGGCCUGGCAGAGUUCCAGUUAAUGUCACCAGCACUGCCUUGUUAAGUGUGCUGGACAUUUUUCCGACUGUGGUAGCCCUGGCCCAGGCCAGCUUACCUCAAGGACGGCGCUUUGAUGGUGUGGACGUCUCCGAGGUGCUCUUUGGCCGGUCACAGCCUGGGCACAGGGUGCUGUUCCACCCCAACAGCGGGGCAGCUGGAGAGUUUGGAGCCCUGCAGACUGUCCGCCUGGAGCGUUACAAGGCCUUCUACAUUACCGGUGGAGCCAGGGCGUGUGAUGGGAGCACCGGGCCUGAGCUGCAGCAUAAGUUUCCUCUGAUUUUCAACCUGGAAGACGAUACCGCAGAAGCUGUGCCCCUAGAAAGAGGUGGUGCGGAGUACCAGGCUGUGCUGCCCGAGGUCAGAAAGGUUCUUGCAGACGUCCUCCAGGACAUUGCCAACGACAACAUCUCCAGCGCAGAUUACACUCAGGACCCUUCAGUAACUCCCUGCUGUAAUCCCUACCAAAUUGCCUGCCGCUGUCAAGCCGCAUAACAGACCAAUUUUUAUUCCACGAGGAGGAGUAUCUGGAAAUUAGGCAAGUUUGCUUCCAAAUU